UACGUAGGGGGCGAGCGUUGUCCGGAUUUAUUGGGCGUAAAGAGCGUGUAGGCGGCCAGGUAGGUCCGUUGUGAAAACUCGAGGCUUAACCUCGAGCUGUCGGCGGAAACCAUCUGGCUAGAGUCCGGAAGAGGAGAAUGGAAUUCCCGGUGUAGCGGUGAAAUGCGCAGAUAUCGGGAAGAACACCCGUGGCGAAGGCGGUUCUCUGGGACGGUACUGACGCUGAGACGCGAAAGCGUGGGGAGCGAACAGG
rnacentral:rRNA from 1 species